rnacentral:lncRNA from 10 species
UGAAGGCAGAAAUAAAGAUGUUCUUUGAAACCAACGAGAACAAAGACACCACAUACCAGAAUCUCUGGGACGCAUUCAAAGCAGUGUGUAGAGGGAAAUUUAUAGCACUAAAUGCCUACAAGAGAAAGCAGGAAAGAUCCAAAAUUGACACCCUAACAUCACAAUUAAAAGAACUAGAGUGGGGUCAGGGGAGGGGGGAGGGAUAGCAUUGGGAGAUAUACCUAAUGCUAGAUGACACAUUAGUGGGUGCAGUGCACCAGCAUGGCACAUGUAUACAUAUGUAACUAACCUGCACAAUGUGCACAUGUACCCUAAAACUUAGAGUAUAAUAAAAAAAAAAAAAAAAAAGAAGUAAUUAAGUUAAAAUGAGGUCAUUAGGUGAGCCCUAAUUCAAUAUGACUGGUGAUCUUAGAAAAAGAGAUUAGAACACAGACACACACAGAGGGAAGACAAUGUGAAAACAAAGAGAAAAUAUGACCAUCUACAAGCCAAGGAGAGACCUCAGAGAAACCAAUUCCACUAACACCUUAAUCUCAAACUUCUAGCCUCCAAAAUUGUGAGAAAAUAAACGUUGGUUGUUUAAGCUACCUACUCUAUGAUACUUUGUUAUGGUAGCCCUAGAAAACUAAUAUAGCCAUUA